rnacentral:rRNA from 1 species
GUCGAACGGUAACAGAUCUAGCUUGCUAGAUGCUGACGAGUGGCGCACGGGUGCGUAACGCGUGUACAAUCUACCUCUAACUGAGGGAUAGCCCAGAGAAAUUUGGAUUAAUACCUCAUAGUAUUAUAUUAAGGCAUCUUUUUAUAAUUAAAACUCCGGUGGUUAGAGAUGAGUAUGCGUCCUAUUAGCUGGUUGGUAAGGUAAUAGCUUACCGAGGCUACGAUAGGUAGGGGGCCUGAAAGGGUGAUCCCCCACACUGGUACUGAGACACGGACCAGACUCCUACGGGAGGCAGCAGUGAGGAAUAUUGCACAAUGGAGGAAACUCUGAUGCAGCCAUGCCGCGUGCAGGAUGAAUGCCCUAUGGGUUGUAAACUGCUUUUAUACAAGAAGAAACAUCAGUACGUGUACUGACUUGACGGUAUUGUAUGAAUAAGCACCGGCUAACUCCGUGCCAGCAGCCGCGGUAAUACGGAGGGUGCAAGCGUUAUCCGGAUUUAUUAGGUUUAAAGGGUCCGCAGGCGGAAUAUUAAGUCAGUGGUGAAAGCCUACAGCUCAACUGUAGA